rnacentral:ncRNA from 1 species
AACGUGCUCCGGGGUCGGUGAGAAUCCGAACCGGCGGUGACAGUCCGCGAGCCGAGGCAUCAGCAUCCGAUCAAGAUGCCGCCGAGGUUGAACCGGUGGAAUUCCGGUACCGACGGUGAUGCAGCAGGCGACUGCGGCAAGUCCGGAUGGGAGGCAGCACGAU